UACCCCGGGGCAAGUGAGAAUCCGGGGCAAGUGAGACCUACGUCUAUAAUUUUAUCUAUUUUUUGUUUUUAAGUCAAACAUUCUUCAUGAAAAACAUAGGUAUCACACCAACGGAUACUUUGAAUUCAAAAAUUGUUAUUGUUCUCACCAUAAAGAGACCAUAUAUGUUAUUGUUGUUCAUAUGUAAUUUUCAAUUCACUAAGUGAGAUUAACGUACUCUACUAUAUUCGUCGUUUAAAAAUAGAAUUUCAAAUAAAGUCAAACUUUUUCGGUUUCAGCAUAUUAUUUGGAGUGCUUGCAAAUUAUUUCAAGCGAAAAAGGUGAAAUUUAUUUUCAUUUAUUACCUUUAGUUAACUGCUCCCACUUGCCCCAGUGCAUUUCAGCAUCUGGGGCAAGUGAGACCUAUGAGAGUAAACAAACACAAUGUCAUAGUUUGAUCUCGCUGUCUUCAACCUAAGUCGAAAUUCACACAAAAGUGAAGUAAAAAUCGGUGCCUUAAGUAAUAAAUCGUUGAGUUAUGUUUAAUUACCACUAUUCUGAUGAUGAAGCUAUUGUUUAAUAUGGUAAAUGGGUAGAACAUGUUUUUUUCCGAAACCAUCUAUUUUCAUAUUUUUAUCUAAGCACAUUCUAUUUUUUUUUUCGUUUUCCGUUGCAUAAUGAGUUUUUCUGAGUGUUAAGAAACCGGCCAUAAAGUAUGGAAAAAUUGGAAAACGACUUAUUCAAAGUUCAGGAUUUAAAAAUCUUUAUUCAAUGAUCGGAAAAUCAUGUAAGGGAAAACACAACAUUUGUAAAACUUGAAAAAUCUUUUGACGAGAUUCACCAACUAUGUAAUAUGAAAAGCAAGUUUGGAAACCUAACGGCAUUUAACUGUAUAGCGCUUUUUCUAUAAAAAAAAUCAAUUUGUUUUGCACAAGAUGCUUUGCUUAAAUCAACUUUUUUGUCAGUGAUGCGUUAUUAUGAAUGUUACGUAAUUUAUGCACGAUACCCCAAAACACUUCCAACAUAAAUUGCUAAACAUAGUCAUUCGUAUAAGCUGUUUAUAAUUGCUGCUACCUUACAUAUAUGCAGCAACUAUAUUAAGCCAUUUGUACCAACAUUCCGAAUGAGUCCCACUUGCCCCGUGAUACGGAGUAAAUGAAGAUCUGCUCCACUUUUCAUUAUAUGCAUAAUAUAUAGAAUGUAAAAAUUUUGAAACAGUUUUAAUGCCCGUUUUUAAGGAAAAAUAUACCAACAAUGUCUUUUAGAACCAUGGGAAUUAUAAAAUUAAUUAUGUUUGGAAUUUUUUGGCAUGACAAAACCAAACUAGUCUUUUUUUAGGUCCCACUUGCCCCGGGGUACCUUAAAAGCUUUGCUGAUGUGACUUUCCUAUUAGGCAAUUCUCUCAUCUCAUGUUUGUCUUCAAAACCUUAUCAAGCUUAGAAAAUUUAAGUUGAUAAACAAUACAUUACAAGGUUCGAAUUCCCAUAGAAUGAGAUCAUUCAUUCGCACUACAACACCAUAGGAGAUAAUACCACAUUGGUUGAUUACAGUACAAAUGUGAAAAAUCUCCCUUUUCCCCCUAUCCGCAACCCGGGGACGCGCCCUGUUGGAUUUCGAAAGCCUCGGAGAAUAUUACAAAUUUUCAAUGGCAUUCCCAUAAACUAACCCACAUUGCCCAUUCAGGGGUCUGACUGGGCCUAUUACCCUCCCUCAGUUUGUAAUAUUCUCUCCAACUUGGAAUUAUAUUUUCCCGGCACAUAAAUGACUUCGACAAAUGUUCGAUAUACUAUGCAGCGUCAUGAUCAGUAUAACUAUAUCAGAUAACUUGAAGAUCUGAUUCUUACAGAAUUGUUUGCCAUUGAUUAUACAUUCAGCUAUUCCAAUCAUUACUGCAAAGGCCAUCGACCACAUGCCUGAAAUCAAAGCUUCCUGGAAGAUAUAAUCCAAGCCCAGGGAAAAUUGGCUGUGUAACAAUUAUGGGUCAAUUUGUUGCCUAUUAUGGGUCACUCAAGAGGAAUCGGAUGAAAAAUAAUGUUUUGUCUAUUUUUUCAAUGAAUGGUCACUUAUUCUAGACAGAUCAACUAUAGUAGAAUCUAAAACUGGUCUCAAACCUCUUAACGAAGCGUGUUUGCACGAUUUGGAAUAAAUUUUUCAUAAUGAACUACCUGCAUCGGUUUCCGACACAUUUCACCGCAAGAGGCGCUUCAAGCAUAUCAUCACUCUAUCGGAAACUAAUGGAAACUAUGACAUGUUCCAUUAAACUCCAACAGAUGGCGACUCCAUAGCGUAAACAAUUUUACAGUGAUUGCACUAAACUAGGGAAAAUGUUUUUAGAAGAAUAUUUGUUACAGAUUAAAUUUUAAAUUAAAAUUUUAAAUUCUUUUUAGUGGAUUGUUUUUAAUAUGUAUUGUAUUUUUUUAUAAAACAAAACACGUGUUAUUAUUUUUGUUAAAAAUGAGCAUUUCAAAUGAUUUAAAAUUUUAUUAUGUUCCGAAAAUGGUGCAGUACGGUAAUGCGGCCGAUGGAAAAAAAUUGACAGCUCAUUUGUGUGGGCAGCCUCCUGCACGAAUCUGGCGUACUGCUCACUCUCACAGAAAAUUUGAAAACAGCUCGCAACAGUGCGCGCUGUUUUCAAAUUUUCUGUGGGAGUGAGCAGGACAGGGCAAAUUCGUACAGAGGCUCAUACCAGAAUCUUGACCAGAAUCGACAUCAAACUAACAACCAGCAAGAAAUUCGCGGGUCAAGAUGUCGAUUUACGAAAGUGCGCGGUGCAAAAAGAUUAAAAUAGUCUGCCAAAGGUGUCUAGGAGUAGGAAAGCAGAUCGAUUAACAAGCACCUCCUGGAGUCUGACUGGACCGGAAUCAAACCGAUUGAACCAAUCAACCAGGAGAUCCAAUAAGUACCGGAAACGUUGACUCAGGAGCGAGCGGUCCGAGUUCAAUGGAACUAAGAUUACUAAGAUCCGAAACUGAUGCUGGUGUUUCCACCGACGUUGCUCCAAGCUUUGGUUGUGGAUAAGUUUGGUGUAUUACCCGGAUAGGGCUUACUAGUGGAAUUUGUAGCACGACGAAAAUGUUUGAAUUACACCGAUAGUGCAUAACAGAACAGUACGUGGUAUGCUGUUCUUUUGCCCAGGCUGUGUUUUAGAUUUUGGACAUCCACGAACCGGUUUAAUUGAUGACGACGACCCGACGGCUGAUUCCGACCGCUAGUGAAAGUGAGUGAGCAUAAAAAGCGAUUCCUGUUAAAACUAUUACUCGAAAGAAAGAAGUCAAUAUAAAAAUUAUUGUACAAU